AGCAGCACCCCGUCCCACUCCCCGGCUGCCGCUACAGCUGGGUGGCAGGAGGCAAAAGCAAAGCAAUGAGCAACAAAACAGAAGAAAAGGAAACUAAGGACUGCUAAUCAAAAAAAUAAGAGAAGGAAGAAAGAAGCAAAAGGAGCGAGCUCCUGCUUCGCCUCCUCUCCUAGCAGUCCGAGGUAGCGGACAAGACUACUUCUACACACGUGAAGAACGAGAGGAACGAAGUGCCGGGGAGCUGUGUGAGUAGCAGCUACUGCAGCAGAAGAUGAAAACAUAAUGCUAUCAGAAGAAAAUUAUGUUACUAAGACUUUAUUAAAACCACAGAACAUCGCUCUCAGAAAAUGACAUUCUUCUUGACUUGAACUGUGUUCCAGUUGUUCACAGGAACCUGAAAAGAAAGGAGCUUCUUAAUGGACUAAUUACCUGUUUUCCAAGACACAUGCUUUGCCUGUGAAACAAAAGCCAAAUAUUUAGCAACCACCAGUUCCUUUUAUCCCAGCUAUUACUUGCCUUGCCCUCCUUGGCCAUGAGGUAAACAAAUUCCCCUUAAAACAUACAAACUCUUAAAAAGCAAAAGCAAAACGCUUUGCCCUGAAUUGAAGGAAAAGCAUGUCAGUAUCACAUUACAACUAGAUCUAAUUGCCAGCUUAAAUUUGUAUUCAGAUUAGAGAAUUCACAAUCACAAUAUUUUUCCAAGUCUUCCAUGCUUAUUCUAAUAUUUGAAAGGAAUCAUUAAUAGCGUCUAGAUUGUUUCAAGGACAAAAUCUAGAAAUCAAUUUAUCUGAUUCAGCAAGAGUUGUGUAAAGGAAUAAUUAAAAUUUCUAAUGAAUAAAAUAGUUGUUCCUCUUUCAGGGAUUUCUUCAAUGCUACAAAUCUAGAUGAUUUCAAUGGAAGGAGAAUUCUCUCUUUCACGUUAUCUAUCUUCAGUUUCAAACUUUAUU